GCAGGUAUGUUGUGAACGCUGACUACUGAAUCAGAUGCCUGCGCCCGUCUCUGUCUGGGCAUCAGGAACCGGCGUCAACACGAGACCUGGCCGCGGUGAAGGCUCAGUGAGGACUGCAGGACGCUGCGGCUGCCAGCUCUCCCUACGGCGCACAGGGGGCGCAGGUCGAGACAGGGCGUCCCAGCCCCCGCUCUCUCAGGAAGGCAAAGAAGGGGACCAGGCCGGCAGAGCCUCUCAGGGCAGAGCGGUGAGGAGACAGGGCCUCAGUCCUCCGGGUCCCUCCGGUGAGAGGCGGGCAGGCUCGGGUUCCGCCCCCUCCCAGGGCGGCAGUUCACAGCAUCGGCCGGCAGAGGGCAGCAGAGGCCAGCUCGUGGCAGACCAAGCCCAGGGCCUAGCGCAGAAGCGGGUCCUGGGCCUGAGUCCCGCUGGCUUCCCGGGUGCAGGCUCCACCAGGGAGAAGCAGCGGCCCUUCCUCUCUCUGGCUUGCCCUGGGGAGAGGGGCGAGAGGAGGCAAUUCCGAAAGCCCCUCAUUGUGCGGAGUGGCUUUUUCUUUCUUUUCUGCAUCACAUGCACUGAAUGCCAUUUUCCAAAGUGCUCCCAGAGGGGGCGGGCAGCCAGGUGAUUUCCCAGAAGCCGGAGGAAGAGCCACAGGACGCAAGGCCCACAUAGCUCAGGGGACUUCAGGAGGGCCACACCACUGCUGCUUACAGAACUCGGAGCUUCCUGCCUUGGCAGUCAUCCGGGGAGAAUUGUUACAGCACGGAUGCCUUAUCUGAUCUCUCCUUGGGAGCCUCCCUCCGCUCGCUCUGUGGGACUGAAGGGCUGGAGGCCUGUGCCAGUGUUAGCAAAACAUUUGGAGUCACCGAGCCUGCGACGAGAGUGGCACUGGAGCACUGGAGGUCGCAGUGCUGAGCAGGCUCUGCCUGCCUCGGCUCCCUGACCCUCAGCCAGUGUCCUCGGCUGUGAAGCAGAGGACAGACAGCCAUGGCAUGCUGUGAAUGCCCGACGUGCACCGUUGUAAUCUGUGCAGAGGCAGCAGUGAUGCCCAAGUCUCAGAGCCUGACGCCCAGUGAGCUGAACUCAGAGCACUCCCGGCCUUCUCCUCCUCGUCUUCCUGCAGCAGUGGUGCCGAAUCUACCAGACGACUCGGUCUGUCUCCACUGUGCCCUGGCUCUGGAUAAACCACGAAGGAGAGGGCACGGGGGACAGGAGGGACAGCAGGAGAGGCAAGGACCUCUGCAGGGAAUCUGAGUCCCUUAAGUACGUCAUCCCACAGAGAAAAGCCACCUGCAGUCUAUUCCAAGGGCUUUCAAAAUUACUUUAGAAGUGCAAGCAUUUACAGAAGCGGUGGCCCUGCUGAGCACCAAGCGACACAGCGGAGCAGGGCUCCUAACUAGCACCAUGGAACUGGGGAGCCAGACGGAAGAAUCCAGGCGAAAACAACUGCAGAAAAGAGGGUUGAGGGGCCCCGAGCAACUCUCCCUAAGACAGGCGACAGCAUCAUCGCCCCGAGCUGUUUCCGUACAGCCUGUUACCAUCAGCUCUGAAAAUCAGCCCAUUUUAAUACUGUAUGAGCUGAAAUCCUAUGUGCUCCAAAACAAGGUAACAGAGCCUGGAUCAAAGGACUUCGGACCCAGAGUAAUCUACCCACCUCCACUCGGCAGUUGAGUGACUUUUUCCUGGAAGAUAAGAGAUUUCCAACACGUAGGUGAAGUUUUUAUCUGUCGGUCUGGGGUCAGAACAGUAAAUCAUUAUAAUCUUUAAAAGUGAAGCUCAUAUACAUUUGUAAGUUAAUUGGAGUUGGAAAGAGUGUUCUCGAGUUUUAGGCACUCGGUCAUCAGAGGAGCCUUAUAUUGAGAGAGCUGAGUACCGAUAGCCUCAUUCGUCAAGAAACUUUUGCCAGGCAGCAUGGCACACGCUUGUAAUCCCAGCACCGAGGGAGGCAGAGGCAGGAGGAUCGGAAGUCCCAGCCCAUCUGAGCAACUUAGGGAGAUCCUGUCCCAAGAUAAAAAAUAAAAAGGAGGACUGCAGGGGUGUAGUUUAGUGGUGGGUGCCCGGAGCUCUACACUGAGCACCACGCACAGACACACGCCUGCGCACAAGCAGAAAGCGUCUGACGUAGGGAGGGGCGCAUGCCCUGACUGGGGCCUGUUCAGCUCUUAGCCCUAUGGGCCGAGCCAGUUUUCAUGUCUCCCGUGGGUUUGCUGUAGUGCUGGGGUCUCUCUCAUGGGUCCGCGUCGGUCAGAUACACACACACACACACACACACACACACACACACACACACACACACACACGUAUAAGGAAAAAGAUUUACCGAAGGAACCAUCUCCACGGCUUGGGGUCUGGAGAGUCUGAGAUUUGCAGGUGACUCCGAGCUGGAGACCAGGGAGACGCUGCAUGCGGGGCAUUUUCUCUGCUCAGGCCUACAGCGGCCUGGGAGAGGCCCCGCCCACUAGGAAAGGCCACCUGCUUUAUUCAAAGCCGUCCGUCCGGUAACACCCUGAGGGACAUGCCAAGAAAAACUGUGAGCAAGUACACGUGCUGGGGGCCAGCCAGGCAACCCGAGAACCAACCGUCCCAGCACUGCCACCCUCCUGGGCUGCACUGGCUCCUGGUGAAACCUAGCUGUGGGCUCGUGUGGCUGGAGUGUCCCCUGGGUGUGUCCUAACCAGCCCUCUUUUCUGGGGGAGCCUCUGCUUUGAACCCCUUGUCCUGGUGGGACCUGGAUGUUUCAGGAAAGUCUGAAGGUUGGGGAACUCUGGUGCUUGCUGAGCACCUGAGGGGCAGAACUGGGUCCCGGUCGGAGAUAAAGUUGCUCACUGCUCUGUAGCCCAACUGCUUUCUUCAGUUUGUCAACUUGAGGUUGAUUUCUACUGCCAAACUUGGCUAAUUUUGACAGUUUUACCCAAUUUUCGGUUUUAUAUUGUGUUCUGGCUUAUACCCAGAUGUCCCCCCAAAUCCUUAUGCACUUAUAGGUGGGGCUUUGAGGAGGUGGUUGGAUCAUGGGUGUGUGAUACUGGAUAUGGAUAUCCAUAACUGAAUAACUGGAUUAGUCCAGUAAUUGGUUUAGCAUAGUUCCUGGCAUGGAAAAUGGGAAGCCCCACCCUGGGUGUGGGUGGCAGCAACCAAUAGGCUUGUAGCCUGGAUGCAAUAAAAGGGGAAGGAGGACUUACUGCUUCCUGCCUCCUGCCUGCCUUACCAUGGACUGUUUCUCCUCUGCAUUGCCCCUCUGCCAUGAGGCCCUGCCUUAGAGUCAGCUGAGGACUGAAACCUCUACAAGCUAUGGGCUAAAAUAAGCCUUUCUUCUCCUAACUUGUGGUUGUAGGGUAUUUUGUUCCAGCAAUGAGAAAGCAACUAAAACAUAUUGUGUGUGUGUGUAGAGGAUUUGCUUAUAUCUUCACCCACCUCUCUGGAAGUCUUCCUGACCCAUGCUUUUUGAAACUUUGUGAGAAGCUCUUGUUACAGACAUUUAUACUUGUUAUAAUUUUCUGAAUUGAUCCGUUCAGCAUUAUGAAAAGCCUUUAUCUCUAGUUAGAAUCAUUGUCUUGUUCUAUUUUGUCUAAGGUUAAUGUGCCCCUUCAGCUUCAUUAAGCUUGGCUAUUCUCAUGGUGCAAUGGUACCAUGGUAUUUGUCAUUAAUUGCUUCUGGAAGGUGUAGAGUACCAAGAAGGACAAGUAUCAAACAAAUUGUUUUGGCUGGAAAGGACAGUGGGUCACCAGGCAAUGCACACCAAUAAGUGUCAAGUACCAGACAAAUGAUGAGUACCAGGACAGGAUUUUUGAAUCAAAAUGUGUUGAAAACCAAAUUCCACGAGUUUCAAAGCAGCUGAGUACCAAGGUCUGGGUGCAUUUCUUUUCUUUUUUUCUUUUUUUUUUUUUUUGCAUUUCUUUUCUUCACUCACUUUCAAUCUCUGUCUUCCUGUUAGAAUGUGUCUUUACUAUAUAGCACAUAAUUAGGUCUAGCUUGUAAGAAAACUCACUGACAGCUCUCUCACCUGGAAGGCCUUGCCCGCUCAUGCCUGCACAGCUGCUAGAACGGCUGGGUCUAAGCAUGCCGCUGUAAAAGCUGAGUGUCUGCCUUCCCCUUGAGUUUCAUUUCUCUUCACCUUUUCUCUCUUCUUUUUGCAUUAUUUGAAUCCUUUGGAAUUCUAUUUUAAC
ensembl:lncRNA